rnacentral:tRNA from 2 species
GCGGAAAUAGCUCAGUGGUAGAGUGUUGCCUUGCCAAGGCAAAUGUCGAGGGUUCGAAUCCCUUUUUCCGCU